AAAUCAGGUAAAACAUGGUC
rnacentral:siRNA from 1 species